GGAAAGCUGAAUGUACAGAAAAAGGUAGUAAACUGAUGCUGAGGAUUUCUUUUAAAUUUAGUCUACUUAGUUUCACAAGUUAUCAGAUCAAGGAGAACCACACUCAAGUUAUUGCACUGAGAAGCAUCACCUGUACUUGGACCUGAAAAUAACAAUAACCUGGACGUCAUGACAACACUACCUGGGAGGGCUAGGAGUAAGGUAUCCUAAAUACUUUGGCCACCUGAUGUGAAGAGCUGAUUUGGAAAGACCCUGAUGCUGGGAAAGAUUGAGGGGAGAAGGAGAAGGGGAUGACAGAGGAUGAGAUGGUUGCAUGGCAUCACCGACUCGAUGGACAUGGGUUUGGGUGGACCCUGGGAGUUGGUAAUGGACAGGGAAGCCUGGCAUGCUGUGGUUCAUGGGGUUGCAAAAAGUCAGACACGACUGAGUGACUGAACUGAACUGAACUGAAUUGCAUUUGAAAUAUUAUCAGAACUAAUACCUUCUGGUGGUAGCAUUACUUAAGGAGUAUGUAUGUGUGUAUAUAUACA
ensembl:lncRNA